ACCCGAUGAUGUCAAUUUCAGCGCUAAUCCCCUCAUCGGGGAGGAGUACAGAAAUCGAUUUUAAGAGCCCAUUAUGUCGACAAAAAUGGCUUCAUUGUGUGGACGGUUGCAGGGUUAAAUCGAUCUGAUGUUGCUAAAUUCGACCCAAACUCGUAGUGUAGACCAGGGCUCAGAGAGGUGUGAUAUCUCUUCCCCCUCCUGCCCUGUGCCUUGGUAGUAGGAAAAGGCUUGGGGAAAAGCCUUAUGCUGCAAGGAACAUUGUAAAUAAAGCACAUAGUGUCAAACUUGCCAGUGGUGUGCAUGAAGAUUGUGUGCAGAAAGGAAUCCAAGAUGAGAGAACCCUGCCCCAGCCCUGUCACUGACAGGCAUGGACAUUUUAAAGUGAUACCUCACAGCUAGGGUUGCCAACUUUAUAAUUCCAGAAAACCAAACACCCCUGCCCUGCCCCAUCCCUUCACAAGGCUCCAACCCCACUCACUCCAUCCCUCCGUACUUACUUGCUCUCCCCCACCCUCGCUCACAUGCUCAUUUUCACUGCAAAGCCAACAGGCAACCAGGAGAAAACCAGGAGCUGCAACAGUUUGAAUGUGGGAGAUAGCAUGUGUGAUUCAGAUACCCUUCACCUGUCUCACCAGGGAGAUAUUUUAAACACUACUGGAAAAUGCAAUUUUUAAAACUUCUUCUGAAGUGUAAAGAAGACACAAACUAUAGACCAAAAACAGUUUUAAUGAGAGUGCCAAUUGAAACUACUUAAAAUCACUCUCACUGAUAAAAAUGUAUGCCUUAUUUCUAAUUAGAAUUUUUCUGGCUUCAUCUUCCAGACUUUUUUUAUGCCUUUCUCUGCUAAAUUAAGGCGCCCUGUAGUAUCUGAUAUUAUUUCCCCAUGAAGAUACCUCUACACCAUAAUCAAGUCACCUCUCAGUCAUCUUUUUGAUAAACUAAACAUAUUCAGCUCUUUAAGCCUCUCACAGUAAAGCAUUUUCUCUGGUCCUCAAAUUAUCUUUGUGGCUUUCUUCUACACCCUCUCCAAUUUUUCAACAUUCUAUUUAAAAUGUAGACACCAGAAACAAAUACAGUAUUCCAGUGCCAUAUACAUCUUCUCCUACAUGCUAGUGUUGCUCUCCAAAAUGGUGAAUGAUAAAAGGGUGAAUAGGUCAAAGUGAAUUUAAGCUUCAAAUGCAGAUGAUUAAGACAGCUAGUAAGAAUAUAACUUGUAAAACAAAAAUUGGGGAUCAAUUUUACUUUCUUGGGGGAUAAUGGGUAAUCCAAAAGGGAAACUAAGAAUCUGCUCCACCCUUAGCUCUAUUUUCUUAAUAACUUGUCAGAUAUUGGUCUUGACAAGUACAAAACCCGAUUUGUUCAUGUCACAUCGUCCGAAUAAAUGUUUUCUAUAAUGCAACAUUGGUGCAGCAAUUCUGUUCCAUCUAUGAGAAAUGGACUACAGUUCAGAUUUGUUAGUGGUGGUAACUUGUGGAAAUGAUAAACCAAUAAAUAUAUUUUUAUUUCAUAAA